rnacentral:rRNA from 1 species
UACGGGGGAUGCAAGCGUUAUCCGGAAUUAUUGGGCGUAAAGAGUCUGUAGGUUGUUCAAUAAGUCUGCUGUUAAAUAUUAGAGCUUAACUCUAAGCCAGCAGUAGAAACUAUUAAACUAGAGUAUGGUAGGGGCAAAGGGAAUUCCCAGUGUAGUGGUGAAAUGCGUAGAUCUUGGGAAGAACACCAGAAGCGAAGGCGCUUUGCUGGGCCAUUACUGACACUCAGAGACGAAAGCUAGGGGAGCAAAUGGG